rnacentral:lncRNA from 1 species
AAUAUUCCCUCAGAUACAGUCAGAAGAAUAUACAAGGAUAAAUGUACAAGGAACAGGAGGCCUGACGUCAAAAGCUCCCCCUCGUGACCAAAUCGACUGGGACUUGUUGGAUCCAAGAUGGCAGCUCACUUGACUUCUGAAGAACCUGGAACUUCAUUAUAAUCAAAUUUCCGUGCUAAAUGACAUUCCCGCGAGCACCAUGACAGUUGACAAUCACCAUGACAAUGACAGAAGAAACCAUAAAAUGACAAAAAGGAAGGCGGCAACUCUGGUUCUGAGUUUUCUGCCCAUUUCCAGAAAAGAUGUGAAUAUUCUUCUCUUUGCUUUUAAUGCCUGACCCUGUCAUUAGAGAUAUUCUGUAUCUGUGACUUCCUGGUUUUCAUAAGCUGAGAAGGUGAUUUGUGAGCCAAUCUCCUGGUUCUCAAUUUCAUGGCCAUUGAAUGAAGCUGGUACUGCUUGAUGCUCACUUUCUGUUCUGUGUAUUGGCUUCCUGGCACUGAAGAGGGAAAGACCUAUUUUUGGGGUGGGGGCGGGGGGGACCAGCUUUAUCAGUAACAGAAAGUUAGGACAGUCAUUCCUUUUCAAGACACCUCUUCAUCCUCAAAGAUUAACAGCUCUUUCUUAAUGUCAUAACAAUCAAAAUUUGGAAUUAAGCUCCUUAUGGAUCACGGGUGAGAGUGAAUUUGCUCUUUGAAAGAACAGAUGUCACAAUAUAUGAACAUAUUUUCAUUUUAUUAAACAUGCUAGUACAGUACAGUGGUUAAGACCUCAGAGGCUGGAGCUAGGGGCCCUGGGCUGGAAUUCUGACUCUGUCACUUACAUGUGAGACAGUAGGCAUGUUAUCAACUCAACAUGUCUCAGUUUCCUUGUCUAUAAAAUGGGGAUAAUAAUAGAACCUAACUUAUAAGGGUGGUUGUGAGAAUUAAAUGUGUUAAUAUAUGUAAAGUUUCUGAAAUGGUGCCUAACAAAAAGUAAUCAUUAUAUAAAUAUUAACUACUCAUCUUUCUAAUGUGUUACUAUUUUAUGGUAUUCUGUUUUCCUACUAUUUUUAUUUAGCUUGUUUAUCAUCAUUGAACAUUAUUUUUACUAUUUAAUAUUUUCUUUAUUUAGAAGAAUUUAUUUUUCUAGGGCAGUUUUAGGUUCAUAGCAAAAUUGAGAGGAAGGUACAGGUAUAUUUCCCAUAUACCAUUGGGUCCCAUACAUGCAUGGCCUCCUCCAUUAUCAACACCCCCCACCAAAGUGGCACAUUAGUUACAACAGAUGAACCUGCAUUCACACAUCAUUAUCACCCAGAGUCCGUAGUUUACAUCAGAGUUCACUCUUGAUGUUGUUCAUUCUGUGGGUUUGGACAAAUGUAUAAAGGCAUGUGUGCACCAUUAUAGUUUCAUAUAGAGUAGUUUCAAUGCCCUAAAAAUCCUGUGUGUCCCUGAACACCUAAAGGAGGUCUGGAGUGGAGUGAGGCAAUCAAUUGGGGGGUGGGCUGAGGGAGCACAGCUGCAGAGACCGGCCUUGGAGGGCACCCUGAGGGUCCUGUGCUUCCAUGGUACAUGCAAAGCCAACCUCUCAAGGGCUACAAGCAGUGACAUUCCAUAAGCAGGUUUCCAUUUUGGAGAGAUCACCCUGUCCUCUUUGAGGGACGUGGGUUAGAAGAUCACCUGGGACUUUAGCAGCCUUGGGAAGGCCCUGAGCCAGCAACCGCUCAUACACUUAAUUGGAUCAAUGAAAAAGGUCCAAAUUCCUGUUGACGCUAACAUCUGAUCACCAUAGAGCCCUACGACAAUUUUAGAAUCGGCAGCCUAAUCCAGUGGUCUCCACUGUGGGGUGACACACCUCAGAAAGUGCACAAAACAAUUCGUUUCAGAGUGGAAGAGAAAUACUAGAACUUCUAUUUUUAAAAAUAAUAAAUACAACUAAAUAACAAAUUUCAUUAUUUCCAAAUUGAACAUUUCCUUUGUAUGUUUUAUAAUGUAUUAUAUAAUAUACAUUAUCUCAUUUAUAAACAAACAAAUAUGAGGUGGUGCUAAAGUGUUUUUACUGAUUGAGCGCCGUUUCCUUCCAUGCUGGAAGUCUCCUAUCUGUGUCAAAGGCUAUCCUGAUUCAACCCCUGAAAUUACUAUUCCAGGACUUUAUUGUCAUAUAUGACAGAGAUUUAGGGAAGACUUAGGCCAAAAUUUAUACCAAUAUAUUAAAACAAAUAAACAUAAUAAAGUAAUUUAAAAUUUAACAUGUGCUUGUCUCUCAUGCACAGCCAUUCAGUGCUUGGGACAGUGCCUGACAUACAGAACACGUUCAGUACAUAUUUGUUGAAUGAAUAAAUGGAUUAAGGA